rnacentral:rRNA from 1 species
AGUGAACGCUGGCGGUAGGCCUAACACAUGCAAGUCGAACGGCAGCACAGUAAGAGCUUGCUCUUACGGGUGGCGAGUGGCGGACGGGUGAGGAAUACAUCGGAAUCUACUUUUUCGUGGGGGAUAACGUAGGGAAACUUACGCUAAUACCGCAUACGACCUACGGGUGAAAGCAGGGGAUCUUCGGACCUUGCGCGAUUGAAUGAGCCGAUGUCGGAUUAGCUAGUUGGCGGGGUAAAGGCCCACCAAGGCGACGAUCCGUAGCUGGUCUGAGAGGAUGAUCAGCCACACUGGAACUGAGACACGGUCCAGACUCCUACGGGAGGCAGCAGUGGGGAAUAUUGGACAAUGGGCGCAAGCCUGAUCCAGCCAUACCGCGUGGGUGAAGAAGGCCUUCGGGUUGUAAAGCCCUUUUGUUGGGAAAGAAAAGCAGCAUGUGAAUACCCCGCUGUUCUGACGGUACCCAAAGAAUAAGCACCGGCUAACUUCGUG